GGUGGUAUGGCUCAAAUGGUAGAGCAUCUGCCUCUCAUGUACAAAAGUUCAAAGCUGUAAAUUCAAACCCCAUUACCAUCA
rnacentral:tRNA from 1 species